rnacentral:rRNA from 1 species
AACGAACGCUGGCGGCGUGCCUAACACAUGCAAGUCGAGCGCGAAAAGGGCAACCUGAGUAGAGCGGCGCACGGGUGCGUAACACGUGGGUAAUCUGCCUUAGAGUCGAGGAUAACCUUCCGAAAGGUUGGCUAAUACUCGGUAAGCUUACGGUGUCUUCGGACGCUGUGGGAAAAGUAGGCCUCUGUUUACAAGCUUACGCUCUGAGAUGAGCCCGCGGCCCAUCAGCUAGUUGGCGGUGUAACGGACCACCAAGGCAACGACGGGUAGCUGGUCUGAGAGGACGAUCAGGUACACUGGAACUGAGACACGGUCCAGACUCCUACGGGAGGCAGCAGUGGGGAAUUUUCCACAAUGGGCGAAAGCCUGAUGGAGCAACGCCGCGUGUGUGAUGAAGGUUUUCGGAUCGUAAAGCACUUUCGACUGGGACGAAAAACCUUUGGCUAACAUCCAGGGGCCUGACGGUACCAGGAGAAGAAGCACCGGCUAACUCUGUGCCAGCCGCCGCCGUAACAC